rnacentral:lncRNA from 1 species
GGGAGAAGUUGGUGCUCACCGGGCCCCUGUAGAGGUGUAAAGUGAGCCUGAGGGAGGCUCGGGGUGUCCGGAUCAACAACAAGGGGCGGUGGAGAUGUGAGGUAUAAGACGACAACGUGGAGGUGUGGCGGUGGCUGCAAGCUCACGCUCAAGGUCGGACUGGACGAGGCAGUCGACGACAAAGCUCCCUCGCACGUCGAGGCGGUGAGGUGGGCACAGUGGCCGUGGCUAAGCGGCAGCCAUGGCGACGGCGGCACUACACAAAGGCGAGGAAAGGAAGGGGUGAGCAACGGGGGAACUGGCGUAGUGGGGUUCGAGGGGGGAGGCUACGGGGGUCCUUUAUCCGCCAGGGCAUAGCGGGAUGUAGGACACGGCGACAGGGCCGGCCGAUGGCGGCCAUCGUCGUGCACAUGUCCUGUCUGGUGAACAGAGGAGGACGAUUGGGUGCUAGGUGUACCGGGUUGACACGCAGGGCCGACAAGCCUAAGUGUACAGUGCACUUAGGCCCCUUUCCUUUUAUUUCNNNNNNNNNNNNNNNNNNNNNNNNNNNNNNNNAAAAUGGCCUUUGUAAAAUAGGGGACAUGGCCCAUUAAAUACCUUGCAAUUUAUGGCACUACCACAAAACGUUUGGCAGCUAGUUGAAAAUGUUUGAAAUAACCAUAAAUAAAAGAGGGUUCAAAGAUUUA